rnacentral:rRNA from 1 species
GGCUUCGUGCUUAACACAUGCAAGUCGAACGGUUAGGCCCCUUCGGGGGURCUCGAGUGGCGAACGGGUGAGUAACACGAGGGUGAUCUGCCCUGCACUUUGGGAUAAGCCUGGGAAACUGGGUCUAAUACCGAAUAGGACUCCGGACUGCAUGGUCUGGGGUGGAAAGCUUUUGCGGUGUGGGAUGGGCCCGCGGCCUAUCAGCUUGUUGGUGGGGUGAUGGCCUACCAAGGCGACGACGGGUAGCCGGCCUGAGAGGCAGUCCGGCCACACUGGGACUGAGAUACGGCCCAGACUCCUACGGGAGGCAGCAGUGGGGAAUAUUGCACAAUGGGCGCAAGCCUGAUGCAGCGACGCCGCGUGAGGGAUGACGGCCUUCGGGUUGUAAACCUCUUUCGCCAGGGACGAAGCGCAAGUGACGGUACCUGGAGAAGAAGCACCGGCCAACUACGUGCCAGCAGCCGCGGUAAUACGUAGGGUGCGAGCGUUGUCCGGAAUUACUGGGCGUAAAGAGCUCGUAGGUGGUUUGUCGCGUUGUUCGUGAAAACUCACAGCUUAACUGUGGGCGUGCGGGCGAUACGGGCAGACUGGAGUACUGCAGGGGAGACUGGAAUUCCUGGUGUAGCGGUGGAAUGCGCAGAUAUCAGGAGGAACACCGGUGGCGAAGGCGGGUCUCUGGGCAGUAACUGACGCUGAGGAGCGAAAGCGUGGGGA